rnacentral:misc_RNA from 1 species
UUUCCGUAGGUGAACCUGCGGAAGGAUCAUUAUCGAAUUACUGAGGGUUGUUGCUGGGUGCCAAAGACACAAGUGCACGCCUUCCUUCAUUCUCAAACCCCUGUGCACCUAUUGUAGGCUUGGUCGUAGGGCUGGCUUCGGUCGGUCUGAAAGCCUGGCCUAUGCUUUAACACACGCUUCAGUCUAUGAAUGUCAUUGCGGAUAACGCAUCGUAUACAACUUUCAACAACGGAUCUCUUGGCUCUC